rnacentral:rRNA from 1 species
GAGUUUGAUCCUGGUCAGGAGAAGGCGGGCGGCGUGCUUAACACAUGCAAGUCGAACGGGAACCUUUAUUUCGGUAAAGGUGAGAGUGGCAAACGGGUGAGUAACACGUAGGCAACCUGCCGACAGGAUGGGGACAACAUUCCGAAAGGAAUGCUAAUACCGAAUGGAGUCCGGAGAUGGCAUCAUCUCCGGAUAAAAGAUGGCCUCUGAAUAUGCUAUCGCCUAUCGAUGGGCCUGCGUCUGAUUAGCCAGUUGGCGGGGUGACGGCCCACCAAAGCGACGAUCAGUAGCCGGUCUGAGAGGAUGAACGGCCACAUUGGGACUGAGACACGGCCCAGACUCCUACGGGAGGCAGCAGUGGGGAAUCUCCCACAAUGGGCGAAAGCCUGAUGGAGCAACGCCGCGUGAGUGAAGAAGGUCUUCGGAUCGUAAAGCUCUGUUGCACGGGACGAAAACCGAGCUUGAAAAUAUUGAGUUUGGGUGACGGUACCGAGCGAGGAAGCCACGGCUAACUACGUGCCAGCAGCCGCGGUAAUACGUAGGUGGCGAGCGUUGUCCGGAAUUAUUGGGCGUAAAGGGAGCGCAGGCGGACAUAUAAGUCCAUCUUAAAAGUGCGGGGCUCAACCCCGUGAGGGGAUGGAAACUGUAUGCCUUGAGUGCAGGAGAGGAAAGCGGAAUUCCCAGUGUAGCGGUGAAAUGCGUAGAUAUUGGGAGGAACACCAGCGGCGAAGGCGGCUUUCUGGACUGUAACUGACGCUGAGGCUCGAAAGCCAGGGGAGCGAACGGUAUUAGAUACCCCGGUAGUCCUGCCGUAAACGAUGAAUGCUAGGUGUAGGAGGUAUCGACCCCUCCUGUGCCGGAGUUAACGCAAUAGCAUCCCGCCUGGGAGUACGGUCGCAGACUGAAACUCAAAGGAUUUGACGGGGGCCUCGUCACAGCGGUGGA